rnacentral:rRNA from 1 species
AGCGAACGCUGGCGGCAGGCUUAACACAUGCAAGUCGAACGCAUCCUUCGGGGUGAGUGGCAGACGGGUGAGUAACACGUGGGAACGUACCUCUUUGUUCGGAAUAGCUUUUGGAAACGAAAGGUAAUACCCGAUAAGCCCUUUUGGGGAAAGAUUUAUCGCAGAGAGAUCGGCCCGCGUCUGAUUAGCUAGUUGGUGAGGUAAUGGCUCACCAAGGCGACGAUCAGUAGCUGGUCUGAGAGGAUGAUCAGCCACACUGGGACUGAGACACGGCCCAGACUCCUACGGGAGGCAGCAGUGGGGAAUAUUGGACAAUGGGCGCAAGCCUGAUCCAGCCAUGCCGCGUGAGUGAUGAAGGCCUUAGGGUUGUAAAGCUCUUCUGUCCGGGAAGAUAAUGACUGUACCGGAAGAAUAAGCCCCGGCUAACUUCGUGCCAGCCGCCGCCGUAA